AGGGAACGGGCUUGGAAUAAUUGCGGGGAAAGAAGACCCUGUUGAGUUUGACUCUAGUCUGGUAGUGUAAGGAGACAUAAGAGGUGUAGCAUAAGUGGGAGAUUUUUAGUUUUCUUUUCGGAGAGGCUAAGUUAUCAACAAUGAAAUACCACUACUCUUAUUGUUUCCUUACUUACUUGAUAAAAUGGAACAUGUUUCAUUUACUUAGCCAUUUUAAGAAUGUACUUUAUGUAUAUUUUAUGGUAUUUUGUUUUGAUGCAAGCUUCUUGAUCAAAGUACUAAGAGUUUGUUAUAUACACCAAACAGAUAUCGGUUAUUGAAAAUGGAUUAUGAUAUUUAUUAUCAUGUCUAUCGAAAAUAUACCGGAUCUGGUAUAACUAUUAUACUCCCGUAUGAUCCAAUUUGAGGACAUUGCCAGGUGGGGAGUUUGACUGGGGCGGUACAUCUCUCAAAUAAUAACGGAGGUGUCCCAAGGCCAGCUCAGUGCGGACAGAAACCACACAUAGAGCAAAAGGGCAAAUGCUGACUUGAUCUCGGUGUUCAGUACACACAGAGACGGCAAAAGCUCGGCCUAUCGAUCCUUUUGGUCUUAAAGAGUUUUUAACAAGAGGUGUCAGAAAAAUUACCACAGGGGUAACUGGCAUGUGGCAGCCAAGCCUUCAUAGCGAC
rnacentral:rRNA from 1 species